rnacentral:ncRNA from 1 species
ACAGUGGUUCGCAACCCUCCCACUAUAAAAAACUAGG